rnacentral:misc_RNA from 1 species
AAGUCGUAACAAGGUUUCCGUAGGUGAACCUGCGGAAGGAUCAUUACCAAGAGAAAUCUUUCAACACUGAAAGAUCUUUUCCCUUUGUGCUGGCUUUGACCGUAUGUAAUUUUGGGACUUUAAAACUGGUUCGCAAGGGCCGGUCCCAAAAACCAAUAUAUCAUCCUUAUGAAAUUUUUUCUGAACAAUUAAACAAAUGAUUUUAAUAAUCUGUUUAAAACAA